AGCAAGUUUAAUCCAAAUUACACAUAUUGUGAUCACAUAUACAUUUGGAAUUAUUUCUACCAUUCUGUGUUGUUUAAUCUUUCUUUCUUUCUUUUUGCUUCAUUUUUCCUCCUUCCUUACUUUCCCUGACAUUUUCUUUCUUUUUUCUUCCUGAGUUGGGGUCUCUCUCUGUCACCCAGGCUGGAGUGAAGUAGUACAAUCGUGGAUCACUGCAGCCUCAAACUUCUGGGUUCAUGCAAUCCUCUCACCUUAGCCUGCUGGGUAGCUGGGACUACAGCCACACACUAUCACACCCAGCCCUGACUUUUUAAAUGCAAUUUUUUUGCCUACUCUUUGGAAGUUACAUGCUUUAUUUCUCUUCUUUUAGUGGCUGCUGUUAAAUUUCAAUGUGCUUAAUAAACUUAAUAUCUCCAAUCUCCUCUUGCAAGGGCUUAUUUAUUUCUUUAGAGAUGGAAGUCUUGCCAUGUUGUCCAGGCUGGAGUGCAGUGGCUAUUCACAGGUGCAAUUAUAGCCCACUACAGUCUUGAACUCCUGACCUCAGGGGAUCCUCUUGCCCCAGCCUCCAGAGUAGCUGGGACUACAGAUGCCUACCAUAGCACCUGGUCCAACAUGAGGACUAUUAAACAUUUUAACUGUAGUCACCACUCUACCAUAUUACAUAGUUCAUUUUCCAGUAUUUUAUUUCAGUCUUAUUGCCAAAAUUAGACAUUUCUAUAUGUUGGUUUAUAAAGACAACGGUCAUCAUGAUGUGUCCAUAUUUACCAUUUCUUGGCUCAAAAUGCCUUCUUGCAGCUCAGAGUUUUCUUUGAUUUCUCCCCUCAUCCUGAAGUAUUAAUAUAUCUUUUAAAUUUUAAGUCCUAUAAGUGAGAGCCCAUUGUUCGUAAACUCAGUUUUUGAUGAUCUGUGAUAUAGUAUGGCUCUGUAUCUGCACCCAAAUCUCAUGUUGAAUUGUAAUCCCCAAUGCUGGGGGAGGGAAGGUGUGUGGCACUACCCCCUUCACUCUCUCCCUCUCUCUCUCCUGCUGCUAUGUGAAUAUGUGCUUGCUUCCCCUUCACCCUUCUGCCAUGAUUAUAAGUUUCCUGAGGCCUCCCUGGCCAUGCCCCCUGUACAGCCUGUGGAACUGGGUCAAUUAAACCUCUUUUCUUUAUAAAUUACCCAGUCCCAGGUAGUAGUUCUUUAUAGCAGUGUGAGAAUGGACCAACACAAUCUGAUAGUGUCUUUAUUCAAAAAUUAUGGCAAAAUGAAAGUUCAGCUAAUUGUAGAAUUCUAGGCUAACAGUUAACUUCUCUCAGCCCUUUGGAAAUAUACUAACGUCUUCAGACUUUCAUUGUUGCUAUUGAAAAGUGUAUUCAUUUUUUUAUGGCUGUCACAAAUUACCAUUACUUUACUGGAUUAAAAGAGCACAAAUUUAUUGUUUCAAAGUUCUGUAGGUCAAAAGUCAGGAAUGGAUCUCACUGGGCUAAAAUCAAGUUGUUGGUCAGCUGGCUUUAUUCCUUUCUGAGGGCUCUCGUGUUUGUUUCCUUGCUCAUGCAGAUGUUGGAAGAAUUCAGUUCCAUGCACUUAAAGGACUGAGGUAUGUUUCCUCACUGGUUGUCAACUGAGAGCUACCCUUUACUCUUAGAAGCUCCUCUCUGAUCCUUGCAUAUAGCCUCCUACAUCUCAGGAGCAAAUUCUUCUGAUGUUGCCAUCUCUUUGACCCAGCUAGUAAGCAUUCUCUACUUUUAAAUACUUUAGUGAUUAGAUUGGGCCCACCUGGAUAAUCCUGGCUAAUCUUCCCAUCUGAAGGGUAACCUUAAUUACUUCUGCAGAGUCCCUUUUGCCAUGUAAGGUAACAUAUUCAUAAAUUUAGGGGAUUAAGGUGUAAACAUCUUGGCAGGGUGUGGGGAGGACAUUAUUCUGCCAAAGAAAUGGGCUGUCAGUCUAAUUGUCUUUCCUUUGUAGAUGAUUUGGCUGUUCUUUCUAGCUGCUUUUAAGAUCUGGCUGUUUCUUGGUAUGUAUUUCUUAUUUAUCCUUGUGAACACUGACUCUCCUCCAUUCUCUUUUAAAAUUCCUAUUAAGCACAAACUAGAUCUUUCUUCACUCUUUCUUUCUCUCUUUCUUUCUUAACAGGGUCUUGCUCUGUCACCCAGGCUGGAGUGCAGUUGCUCUAUCAUGACUCACUGCAGCCUCAAAUGCUUGGACUCAAGCAAUCCUUCAGGCUAAAAGGUUUAUGAAGACAUUUGUCUUGUCCGGCAUCAUAUCCUGGGACCCACAAAGUGACUGAAAUACAUCUGGUGGUCAAUACAUAUUUGAACAAAGAAAAGAUGAUUUCUAGAGCCUUUGCAUUCUAGAAACCAAGUCUAUUGGAAUUGACUCCUCAGCAAGGAUCAUGCUACAUAUUUUGAAAGAUAAAGAUCAAGAGCCACAUAUUCAAUGGACCAAGCAAAAUCAAGCCACCCCGCUAAGUAACUCUCCAUAAUUUUUACUAAAUUUCUUUUCCUCUUUUGGAGAGACCUAAAGCCAGAAAUCUUCAUUAGUGACUGAGGACUAGAGGGGGCAAUAUAGCAAUUAUAUAUGCAAUGUUUUUGUACAUCUGAAAAGCGACAUGGGAGUUACACAAAGAACUCCUAUGGCUGAAGAGGAUCUUAAGAUGUUAUGCACUUCACCUGCCAAAUGAUACCUAAUUCAUUCACUAGCAGGCUAUAGGAAAUAAAGGGAUGAGAGAGAAAAGACCAACUUUCUUAAAUUUAGGAAAAUGCCCUUUUAAUUAAGGGAUGAGGAU